rnacentral:rRNA from 1 species
UACGAAGGGGGCUAGCGUUGCUCGGAAUCACUGGGCGUAAAGCGCACGUAGGCGGCUUUUUAAGCCAGGGGUGAAAUCCUGGAGCUCAACUCCAGAACUGCCUUUGAUACUGGGAAGCUUGAGUCCGGGAGAGGUGAGUGGAACUCCGAGUGUAGAGGUGAAAUUCGUAGAUAUUCGGAAGAACACCAGUGGCGAAGGCGGCUCACUGGCCCGGUACUGACGCUGAGGUGCGAAAGCGUGGGGAGCAAACAGG